rnacentral:lncRNA from 1 species
AUUUGAGCAACGGCUGCUCCAGAGGAGCUCUUCCGGUCACUUUUAGUGGGCGGCAGGGAAGGUCAAGGGAGUCACUGCCCAACCUUGGUAUUGUAGGGUGACCAAGAGGACUACAGCGAGGCGCUCAUCAUUUUCCUGGGCCUGCCCUUGGGGGCUGGAGGGCACAGACGUCAGGAGUAGAAGGACUGGUGUGUGAAUCCCAGCUGAGUUCCUUAACAGCCAUGUGACCUCUGGUAAGUAAGUUA